UACGUAGGUGGCAAGCGUUGUCCGGAUUUAUUGGGCUUAAAGGGUGCGUAGGCGGCCCCAUAAGUCAGUGCUGAAAUACUCUAGCUCAACUAGAGGGGUGGCAUUGAUACUGCGGGGCUUGAGUGGAGUCGAGGUAGGCGGAAUUGACGGUGUAGCGGUGAAAUGCUUAGAUAUCGUCAAGAACACCGAUAGUGUAGACAGCUUACUAGGCUUCAACUGACGCUGAGGCACGAAAGUGUGGGGAUCAAACAGG
rnacentral:rRNA from 1 species